UGCCCAACGUGGGGCUCAAACUCAUGACCUCGAGUCGAAUGCUCCACCAACUCAGCCAGCCAGGCGUCUCUCGAUCAAUUUCUUGUAGAUGUUCAUUGAUUGAGCUUUCGGAGAGCGUUAAGGAUGGAGCAGCUUGUACCUGUGUGCUGCCCAAAAGCCUCCAGAGUUAACAGGUGCUGUUAACCCAUUAACCUGCUUGUUUGUGCAAAGGUCCAGUGCCUUGUGUGGAGCCCAAGAAUGAUUUGAGGUAAAUGCCUUUGUAACAUCAUUUAGCUGCUAUAUAAAAUUUGCCGGGUGUUUUUAGGGGGUGUGUGUGUUGGGUGGCACUUGUCUGGGUAGCUGUAAGAAGACCUUACUGGCUCACUCCAGAGUCUUGUCUGUGGCCAUUCUGAACCACCUACAACAAGCUCCCCCUCACCAGUGAUGAAUUCAAUACCGCCCCAGUCUGAUCAUUGUGACUGAAAGGUAUUUUCUGAGCUGUGAGCUUGCCUUGGAACAAAGUGACAACAGUAGUUUAUCAACUGGCUUCAAGCCAAUAGGAAGUUCUGUGGACUACCUGGUGGUUACUGUAAAAUAGGCAUUCUGAAACCUACAAAGCCUUUACAGAUGUGCCUUUGCUCUCAGCAAUAGGGACCAGAGAUGUUUGAGAGGCUUAGUUCUCAAUCUUCUGCAGGAACCCUCAGCCGUUUUUCUGCUUAGCUCCAGUCUGAAGUCAGGUGUGAAAAAAGAACAAGGCCCAUAUCACAGGAAUCCAGUUCUUCAGGGAUACCAAAAGGAAGUCUUCAGGUCAUUUUUUGUACAACCUAGCUGUGGAAAUUAGCAUACAAUUGUUUCAGCCUUUCUAAAUAAAAGUUUAACCUUCA